UACAGAGGGUGCGAGCGUUAAUCGGAAUUACUGGGCGUAAAGCGCGUGUAGGUGGCGGUGUAAGUCGGGUGUGAAAUCCCUUGGCUCAACCAAGGAAGUGCACUCGAUACUGUAUCGCUUGAGUACUGGAGGGGAUGGCGGAAUUCCUGGUGUAGCGGUGAAAUGCGCAGAUAUCAGGAGGAACACCGGUGGCGAAGGCGGGUCUCUGGGCCGAUACUGACGCUGGAGGAGCGAAAGCGUGGGGAGCGAACAGG
rnacentral:rRNA from 1 species